CUCCUUCACAGCCCCCAGCGGGCCUGCUGUAAGCCCUCACAACACGUUGACUGGGUAAAAGGCUGACAGUAAUUGCUAACAUUUAUUGAGAGUUUUCUACGUGCCAGACUCUUCCUCGAGCACGUCGUCUAUCAUAACCCAUUUAAGCCUCACAAUGACACGUAAGCGUUAGAUGCCAUGAUUAGCACCAUUUUACAGAUGAAGAAACAGAGGCACAGAGAGGAGACAUAACUUGCCCAAGACAACGCAGCUAAGAAGCGCCAGGCCCGGGAUUCGAACCCAGGUAGCUGUUCUGGCCGUGGAGUGUCCGUUCCCAAGGCCGCUGUUAUGGAGACCUUGCCUAACUGAGGAGGUGAUGGACGGACGGACGGAUGUCGGGCAGAGGGACAAACCCACGCCGGAAAAUGUCUGUGAGAACAACCAACCAACAACAGUCAAACUCAGGUAUUGAGUGACGGUCUCAUCAUCAUAUGAAU
ensembl:lncRNA